UACGAAGGGGGCUAGCGUUGCUCGGAAUGACUGGGCGUAAAGGGCGCGUAGGCGGUUUGCACAGUCAGAUGUGAAAUUCCUGGGCUCAACCUGGGGCUGCAUUUGAUACGUGUAGACUUGAGUGGGGAAGAGGGUCGUGGAAUUCCCAGUGUAGAGGUGAAAUUCGUAGAUAUUCGCAAGAACACCAGUGGCGAAGGCGGCUCACUGGCCCGGUACUGACGCUGAGGUGCGAAAGCGUGGGGAGCGAUCCGG
rnacentral:rRNA from 1 species